UGGGGGAUAUUGCACAAUGGGCGAAAGCCUGAUGCAGCGACGCCGCGUGGGGGAUGAAGGCCUUCGGGUUGUAAACUUCUUUUGCCCUGAACAAGGCGCCCCAUGGGGUGUGUUGGGUGUAGGGGUUGAUUAGCGCCGGCUAACUACUUGCCAGAAGCCGCGGUAAUACGUAGGGCGCGAGCGUUGUCCGGAAUUAUUGGGCGUAAAGGGCUUGUAGGUGGCUGGUUGCGUCUGUCGUGAAAGCUCAUGGCUUAACUGUGGGUUUGCGGUGGGUACGGGCUGGCUUGAGUGCAGUAGGGGAGGCUGGAAUUCCUGGUGUAGCGGUGGAAUGCGCAGAUAUCAGGAGGAAUACCGGUGGCGAAGGCGGGUCUCUGGGCUGUUACUGACACUGAGGAGCGAAAGCAUGGGGAGCGAACAGG
rnacentral:rRNA from 1 species